CCUACGGGGGGCAGCAGUGGGGAAUAUUGCACAAUGGGGGAAACCCUGAUGCAGCAACGCCGCGUGAGUGAAGGAGUAUUUCGGUAUGUAAAGCUCUAUCAGUAGGGAAGAAGAAAGACGGUACCUGACUAAGAAGCCCCGGCUAACUACGUGCCAGCAGCCGCGGUAAUACGUAGGGGGCAAGCGUUAUCCGGAUUUACUGGGUGUAAAGGGAGCGUAGACGGCUGUGCAAGUCUGAAGUGAAAGCCCGUGGCUCAACCGCGGAACUGCUUUGGAAACUGUGUUUCUGGAGUACUGGAGAGGCAGACGGAAUUCCUAGGGUAGCGGUGAAAUGCGUAGAUAUUAGGAGGAACACCAGUGGCGAAGGCGGUCUGCUGGACAGCAACUGACGCUGAGGCGCGAAAGCGUGGGGAGCAAACAGGAUUAGAUACCCCUGUAGUC
rnacentral:rRNA from 1 species